rnacentral:tRNA from 1 species
AGGGGCGUAGCUCAACUGGUCAGAGCAUCGGUCUCCAAAACCGAAGGUUCUGGGUUCGAGUCCCAGCGCCCCUGCCA